AGAGUUUGAUCAUGGCUCAGGAUUAACGCUAGCGGCAGGCCUAAUACAUGCAAGUCGAACGGGAUUUCGGGUAGCAAUAUCUGAAUGAGAGUGGCGCACGGGUGCGUAACACGUAUGCAACCUACCUAUGACUGGGGGAUAGCCUUCCGAAAGGAAGAUUAAUACCGCAUAAAGAUCAGGAGAAGCAUUUCUUCAGGUCCAAACCUCAGGGGGUCAUAGAUGGGCAUGCGUCCGAUUAGCUAGUUGGUGAGGUAACGGCUCACCAAGGCUACGAUCGGUAGGGGGUCUGAGAGGAUGAUCCCCCACACUGGUACUGAGACACGGACCAGACUCCUACGGGAGGCAGCAGUGGGGAAUAUUGCACAAUGGGCGGAAGCCUGAUGCAGCAACGCCGCGUGAGGGAUGACGGCCUUCGGGUUGUAAACCUCUUUUAGCAGGGAAGAAGCGAAAGUGACGGUACCUGCAGAAAAAGCGCCGGCUAACUACGUGCCAGCAGCCGCGGUAAUUC
rnacentral:rRNA from 1 species